rnacentral:lncRNA from 1 species
ACAAAGCGCGACGAGAGGCGGCCGAGGCAGCCGAAAGGGAAGUGGGGCUACCCCACAGCCAGGCAGCGGGGCUGGGGUCAGACCCGGGAGCCGGAGGUUGGAGACGUGCGACAGUCACCUGCGGGCAGAUUCCAGAGGGGAGACCCAGGGCUGCAGGGGACGCCCCUUCGUGGCAGCUACCCAGCCUCGGCCCACUGCCAGUGUUACGUGGCUGCAUGACCAUACACUUCUGGGUAGAGCCCAGUGGAAGACAAAGAAGACUCAAGGAAUAGCCCUUGAGGGCUCAGGAGCUAUACAGAUGGGAUAGAGGGUGUGAGUGCUGGGAAGCCCCAUCCAUGGCUCGCUGGAGAUUAGAGGCCUGUUAAUCUGAAGACAAAGGAAUGAAGACGAAAACGUUUCUGAAAAUGUGGGUGGAGACACCUGGGCCUUUACAGGGUACGCUCCAGAGCUGCUUCCAGGCAGGGACCCCGGCUGAGAGAAGCCAGAGCCAGAGAGUCGCAGGCUUGCUUGCUCUUAUCUUCCCUCUGCUGGGGGGGUCGAGGGGAGAUCUGGCCCCUCUGCUCUGCCCUCCUGAUUUCCCGUCUAAGGGAUUUAGGAGACUUUUGCCUUUUCCUAAUCUCUCCCUUUGCAGAAUUUCUGCGAAGUCACAAUCCCAUUUCCAGGCAAAGGUGCUUGGUCAUAAAGAUAAUAAAGAUAUUCAUUCAUGAUGGAGGGGAAGUACACAGUGGUUUCAGCUGCCUGUAGGGCUCCACUUACUCAUGGUGUGUGACAGAUGCUGAGCCCUUCCCCAAAUCUCAUGGAUGGGAAGGAAACCUGGCGCCGCGGGGUGGUCGCGGGAAGCCGUGGCAUGGCUUGGUGAACACAGGCUCGCCGACCCGGGGGCGGAUGCUGAGGUUGCCAUUGUUGGUGGCUGCAUCUGCAGUAGACGGGUCGGGAUGCCGGCCUCAGACCACAGCGUUGCUAAAUGCCAAACCCAAGGCCUCCCCGUCUUUAACACUGCUGGGCAUUCUACAGCGCAAGGAGGCAGCUGGGGCUGGACUGCCCAGUGCCUGCCGUUGACUGUGCGUCUUCUGCCUGUGAGCUAGCCUGCCACACCUGGGGAUACACGGUGGGGAAAUCAAUCAGCUUCCCUCCCUUCUAGAGCUUCAGGUCCGGCGUUGGUGUCUAGAGGCAAGGGGAGGAGGCAGGGAGGCCUCUUCUUUUCUGUCCCCCUUUCUCUUGGCCAAUUUGGAGGAGAUGGUGGGGGACCUGUCUCUCAUCUGACCUCCUGGAAGCCCUGCCUGCUGCUCCAGUGUGGCUCUCCCAGGGCUGAGGCCUGGAACCUAGGGCUGGGCUACCUGGGGUGCUCAGCUCUGCCGCACCCCAGCCCUCCUCGGCUGCAGCCCUGGCUUCUUUUCUUACCCACUGGGAUGGCCCGUGGGACUAACCUUGCAGCCUGCAGGACUAUGGCCCAGAUGACCUUUCCGGAGCAGGGGAAGAGUUCACAGGUCUCAGACCAGGUUGACCCCGAGCCCUCUCUUUCCUGCUUCGCAUAGGGGCGGGCCAAGGGAGGCAGGGACAAUGGCAUUCCUGUUUGCAGGCCUUUGUUCCCGCCAGGAGGGCCCCCGGAGCUAAUAAAAAGGUUUGUGGCUCCGAUGUCUAAGAGGCAG